UUUGAAGAGAGAGUAAACAGUGCGUGAAACCGUUCAGAGGUAAACGGGUGGAGUUGAACUGCGAACUCUGAGAAUUCAACUGAUAAGCGUGGUUUGCGCUCGGGCUUAUUGGCCAGCCUUCUGUGUCUGUCCAACGACAGGUGCCUGCUCCGCCGGCGGGUAUGUGGGAUGCACUUAUCACGUGCCACACGCAUUGGAGGUGAGUGGUCUGCUUGUCAGUGCACUUUCUCAGGGUGUUCACCACGACCGGCAUUGCUGUCUGUCUGCUUUGGUCGAACUGAUCAGGUCUGGUCAUUGCUAGGCUUGGUUGGGAUAGAAGGUAGCUCAUCUGUUCAUUGUAUGAACUGUGAGUGUAAUUAGCUGACCAUAGUGGAUCUGUACGGUAUGCCGGAGAUGACGGCUUUGCAUACGUGCUCUGUCCUUCGGACGGGAUUAAGUUCGGCCGGCUUGUUACCAGCCUAUGUUGGUCCGUCGGUGGCUUGAUUCUGUUCUGUUGGCGGUUGCGUGUGUGACAUGGUAUGGGCCAAUAGUCUGUGGUGUUGUGGUAGACGAUCCACCUGACCCGUCUUGAAACACGGACCAAGGAGUUUAACAUGUACGCGAGUCAUUGGGCGUUACGAAACCCAAAGGCGAAGUGAAGGUAAAGGUUCGGCCUGUCCGGACUGAGGUGAGAUCCCGUUGUUUUGCCAAGUAAAUUUUCGAGAUGCGAGCAUCGGGCGCAUCACCGGCCCGUCCCAUGACGUAGACAUGUGACUUCGUGUCGUGUGCACCGUCGGGGCGGAGCAAGAGCGUACACGUUGAGACCCGAAAGAUGGUGAACUAUGCUUGC
rnacentral:rRNA from 1 species